rnacentral:rRNA from 1 species
GACGAACGCUGGCGGCGUGCUUAACACAUGCAAGUCGAGCGGAGCGGCGAACGGGGGAGUAACGCUUGAGUAAGUGCCCCCCUCCCUGGGAUAACAGUUGGAAACGGCUGCUAAUACCGGAAAGUGGGGGCUGUCUCGCGUCCUAUCAGCUUGUUGGUGGGGUAGGGGCUUACCAGGGCGACGACGGGUUGCCGGCCUGCGAGGGCGACCGGCCACAUUGGGCUGAGAUACGGCCCAAACGCCUACGUGAGGCAGCAUGGGGGAAUAUUGCACAAUGUGGGAAACCCUGAUGCAGCAACGCCGCGUGCGGGAUGACGGCAUUCGGGUUGUAAACCGCUUUCAGCCAUGACGCGGUAGUGGCAGAAGAAGCACCGGCUAACUACGUGCCAGCAGCCGCGGUAAUUC